AUAUAUCUCUGAAUUAAUCACUUAACAUUCUGAUUUCUCUACUCUGUGAAGUCGUGAGUCUGAAAAUUUUUCAACAUGCGUUUUUUGCUGACAGUUGUUCUCCUGGUUGCUGUAGUUAUGACUGUUGUCGAUGCACGUAGGCAUGGUCGUCGUUGGCAUAAUCGUAAUCAUCGGCGUUAUGGGAGACAAGGAGGAAUGGUGUUGAGGAACGUCAGCUGUCGAAGGGUAAAGAAUGCGGAUGUUUGUGAGAGAUGCUGUGAUCCAUGUAGAAACGUCGAGUGUACUGCGCCCCUAACCUGUGAUGAGGGAGAGUGUAAAUGCAACGGCAACGUCUGUGGCGAUUAUCAAACCUGCACUGAAACUGGUGGUGUUGCCAGUUGUAUAGAAGAAUGUCAGGAAAUCGAUUGUGUUCAGUUGGAAUCGUGUUUUGAGGGAGAGUGUAGAUGUAACGGCGUCACCUGUGUCAAUGGGGAAAACUGCAGCUUUCUCUCUAUAAUCGGUCCAA